rnacentral:rRNA from 1 species
CAGCCGCCGCGGUAAUACCGGCGGCCCGAGUGGCGGUCACUAUUAUUGGGCUUAAAGCGUCCGUAGCCGGGUUGGGAAGUCCUCCGGGAAAUCUGGCCGCUUAACGGUCAGAAUGCCGGAGGAUACUCCCAGCCUAGGGAGCGGGAGAGGCCGAGGGUAUUCCCGGAGUAGGGGGGAAAUCCUAUAAUCCCGGGAGGACCACCUGUGGCGAAGGCGCUCGGCUGGAACGCGUCCGACGGGGAGGGACGAAGGCCAGGGGAGCAAACCGGAUUAGAUACCCGGGUAGUCCUGGCGGUAAACGAUGCGGACUUUGUGUCGGACAAGCUAUGAGCUUGUCCGGUGCCGGAGGGAAACCGUUAAGUCCGCCGCCUGGGGAGUACGGCCGCAAGGCUGAAACUUAAAGGAAUUGGCGGG